CGGACGGGUGAGUAACGCGUGGGUAACCUGCCUUGUACUGGGGGACAACAGUUGGAAACGACUGCUAAUACCGCAUAAGCGCACAGCUUCGCAUGAAGCAGUGUGAAAAACUCCGGUGGUACAAGAUGGACCCGCGUCUGAUUAGCUGGUUGGUGAGGUAACGGCCCACCAAGGCGACGAUCAGUAGCCGGACUGAGAGGUUGGCCGGCCACAUUGGGACUGAGACACGGCCCAGACUCCUACGGGAGGCAGCAUG
rnacentral:rRNA from 1 species